UCCCUGGUGGUCCAAUGGCUAAGACUCUAUGCUCCUAAUGCAAGGGACCCAGGUUCAAUCCUUGGUCAGGGAA
rnacentral:tRNA from 1 species